ensembl:lncRNA
UGAAUAUUCUGGGCUCUGGUCAUCUGCUGGGAUCUCAAGGCCAGGAACUCAUUGAGGGCUUUUAUCUGCACAGUGCGCAGAGCUUCCUGAAAAUCCAGCACAAAUAUGACAGUCUGCUGUUCAACAUUAAAAUGAAGGGUUAAAGCCGUUUGAUCCGAAUGCAGUUUGAUGGCAGUAGUCAGGCAGAAGCGGCUGAGGUUUGCAGGAAGGCUGUGGAGACGCUGCAGGAUUAUGUUCCUGUCCAAGUGCAUCUGACCACCCCUGCAGCUGCUGCUCCAUCUGAUCCUGCAAAACCUGGACCGUCUACACAGCAGCAGCAGGCUCCUGAAGAUGCACCACAAGCGUUGUCAUGGAUCCGCUGUCAAUCAAACACCUUUCUCAGUACUUCCUGGGUGAGCUGAGAGCUGUCCCUGCCGAUGGCGUCUCAUCAGUGCACGCUGCCCUCUGGAGACCUGGAGGCACUACUGCGCGUCUGCCUGCUCGAUUCUGGUUUUCCUGCUUUCGUGGAGGAAGUCGAGAAGAAGAUGAAAGAGCUGAUGCAAGAAUGAGGUAGAGUGUGCUCUCAAAAUCACUGUUGUUGUUAACAAAAACUAAAACAGUUAAAACUAAAAUAAAACAAAAAUAUGUUCGUUAAUUGCA